GUGAUUGAAUGAAUGGGAUAAGUGACGGCCUGCAAAGCCGUGUAGGCCGGUUCGACUCCGGCUCGCGCCUCCA
rnacentral:tRNA from 3 species